rnacentral:ncRNA from 1 species
CAAUCUUUUCCUAUCAUUGUGAAGCAGAAGUCACCAAGCAUUGGAUUGUUCACCCACUAAUAGGGAACAUGAGCUGGGAGUAGACCCUUGUGAGACAGGUC